UAGGAGAGCAAACUCCGAACAAUAAACCCGGACAGGUGGAGGUCGUUAGCCGUGGUAGGUAAUACACCUAGGAGAGCAAACUCCGAACAAUAAACCCGGACAGGUGGAGGUCGUUAGCCGUGGUAGGUAAUCUGCCUAGGAGAGCAAACUCCGAACAAUAAACCGGGACUUGUGGUGCUCGUUAGAUGUCGUAGACAAUCCACGUGAUGGGAACACCAAAGAAGAGAAAAGAAAAAAACACCAGAAAAAGGAAAAUAUAAUAAACAAACAUCAAGAAAAGAAAAAACACAGAUCAUCCACCUUCAAGCCCUAACAACGCCAAAAUUAUGGGUGGGUCUUUUCUGGGGAGGAAAAGGCUCAUCCAGACCAAAGAACAUCAAAAAGGGAUGAUGUAGAAGAGAACACCAAAAAUUUUGGAAAAAAAGAACAAAAAAAUCGAAAAAGAAAAGUAACCGCAAUAAAAGAACAUCAAG